rnacentral:tRNA from 1 species
GGGGCUGUAGCUCAAUUGGGAGAGCACCUGCUUUGCAAGCAGGAGGUCGUCGGUUCGAUUCCGACCAGCUCCACCA